UACGGAGGAUGCAAGCGUUAUCCGGAUUUAUUGGGUUUAAAGGGUGCGCAGGUUGUUUGAUAAGUCAGUGGUGAAAGUCUGUCGCUUAACGGUAGGAUUGCCAUUGAAACUGAGGGACUUGAGUACAGAAGAGGAGAGUGGAAUUCCACGUGUAGCGGUGAAAUGCGUAGAGAUGUGGAGGAACACCAGUGGCGAAGGCGACUCUCUGGUCUGUAACUGACGCUGAGGUGGGAAAGCGUGGGUAGCAAACAGGAUUAGAUACCCGU
rnacentral:rRNA from 1 species